rnacentral:lncRNA from 1 species
ACUAUAUAGGUCCAAUUUUCUGUCCCGAGAUAAUCGGUCCAAAAAAUUAAUAAAUUGAGUGGGGUUGCGAUCCACAAUAAACCUAAUGGUAAGAGAUUCAAUAAUAAACCUUACGUCCAGAUAGGUCGAGUCAGGUCGAAAUUCCUUGAGUGCUAAAAUUAAGCCUUUAAGUGCGACGGAUACGUCCUUUCUAUCAGUACGUGUUUUUGAGAUAGUUUAUUAGUGCUUACAAUUCAUAAGGAUAGCCAGAUAAUAGUUUUGAU